UACGGGGGGGGGCAAGCGUUGUUCGGAAUUACUGGGCGUAAAGGGCUCGUAGGCGGCCAUCUAAGUCAGACGUGAAAUCCCCCCGGCUUAACCUGGGAACUGCGUCUGAUACUGGACGGCUGGAGUUUGGGAGAGGGAUGUAGAAUUCCAGGUGUAGCGGUGAAAUGCGUAGAUAUCUGGAGGAAUACCGGUGGCGAAGGCGGCAUCCUGGACCAAUACUGACGCUGAGGCGCGAAAGCUAGGGGAGCAAACGGG
rnacentral:rRNA from 1 species